GGCCGUUCUCGUGGCAGUGGAGCCAGCUCCGCGGAUCCCUGUCAGUUUUCCUCUCUGUACUAAGAGUACUUUGGUGCCAUUUAAGCAGCCGGUGGUGACAUUGCUGUGGAGCGUCCAGCUUCUCCAGCUCACCCUGAAGGCUCAAAGAGGGAUCCUGGAGGGCACGAGUUGUUUUAAGGUCUGUACCCUCCUGCGAACAACGUUUGCUGUUCGGUUUUAUUUUGUUUUGCAAACCAGAAGACUCUGCCUUCUGCCUGACAGCACCACAGUGUUGUCUCUAUUUAGCUUUUAUUUCUUAAUCUUUGAGGGGUUAAGACUUGCAACGAGGAGGACUGAGAUACUGCAGUUUUUAUUUCCUUUUAAAAGCCAGUUUUCUGUUUCUUUUAAAUAGAUACAUGGUCGUUUGACAGACCAGUGUUAAGUUCAGUCUUGCUACAAAAGAAGGCCAUUGCACUUCCUGACUCUGGAAGCAAGGAACAUCAGCUGCUACCUGCAGUGCCAGAUCAAUCUGCUGUGGUCAUGGUGUCUGAGAUCCGGGUCAUCCGCAGAUAACUCUGGACAUUGGGGAGGUGGAUGGUGUCUUCAGCAACAGGGCUUUAUUGGAUAUCACUGGUGGGCAGCCAAGUGGAAUGAAUCGUCAUCCCCAAGGCCCCCACGGUGCAGCUGAGGUUGGAAAUGCUAAUGGUAACAUCUGGGCUCUUCAAGAAUGCUCACGCCGCCUGUGAUGGCUGUUCUUGCAUCUUCCUGCCAUUUCCCAGGGGAAUGACCAGAGAGGAUGAUGUCAAGUCCAGGUGCUUGUGUGUUCUUAUAAAAGAGAGAAAACAUUGAGUCAUUGAACUCUGUCCAGGAAUAAGCAGAACUGAGAUUCAGGGACUCUGUAUCUCUGAUGAGCUAGAAAGUCUAACCAUUUGGAAGAGCAAGCCGACCAGGGUGCAAAUCCUCCCUCUGUCACUAGCUUCUCUAACUUCUGUGUGAUCAAGAGCACACUGAUGGAUCCUUCUGACCUUCAGCUUCUUCUGGAUACCUAGAAAGAUGAUCGUCUCGGACAGAACUACCAGCCCAAAGGAAAGGGCUUAAUACAUCUUUCUUUUCUCCUCAUUUAUAAAACCGUUAGGUUUGUUCAUGGCUAGCAACAGUUGCUAGGGUAGUUCUUGCCUUGAGACAAGUGACAGUAACCACAAUAAAACAUCCUCUUUUAUGGACAGGACGGAGCAGAGCGGACACAGACAAUGAAAGCAUUCUUGUGGGAUGAGCCUUGCCGAGUCACUUUGAUGUUUUGUUCUACAACAGCAAAGCCAGAUGGGGAAGAUGAAAUGACCGAGCUGGGUGCAAAACUCGGAGGCAGAAGUAUUUUUUUCACCGUUUCCUUUACCCGCAUAAAUAUUCAGCGAGCUCCAGAAGAAGAGUGCUCUGGUUCAGAGCUUACAGAUCAGACAACCCUGGCCAGACCUCCAGUGUCCUUUAGUAAUGUUUGCCUUGCAGUUAAAGGCAGCAAUGAGUUGUGUGCGUCUGCUUCGAAGGCCUCAGAUAACACUCUGCCUUAUCGAACCCUGAUCAGAGGGAGAGGAGGCCAGAAACACAUGGGAAGACCUGGCCCCUCUGACCUUCCCACUAUAAUGUUUGGGAAGGAGCAGGCUCAGGGCACUUUAGACAAGGCAUGAAAGAGAGGUGAAUGUGCCUGAGUUCAGUGGGAGCCACAUUUAUCAAGCCCAUCCCAUACGCCUGACAUGGAGCUGGGAGCAAGGGGGGGGGGCAUUAGGAAUAUCACAGAGACCAGAAGGCACAUGAUCUCCAAAGCCGGACCUGUUGCAGAACACAGGCCUUUUGCAAAUGAAUAUCGACACAUUUAAUCUGUGGGUGACCUUCCUUUUAUAUGUGGCAAACUGCUUAGCAAUAAUACAGCUAUUGUUUGCUUUGCCAUUUUAUAUAUGGGACCCCGGACAUUGUGUAGACUAUAAUAUAUAAUUAUAAUAUAUAAUCACAGUGGUUUUAUAUGCAGUAUCAUGCCAGAUUUGGAAAGUCAGCUGUCUAGCUUUAAAAAGCAUAGCCCAAAUUAUACAGCAAGUCACAGCAAUAAGGAUGAUGGACAGCAGAACCCUGCAGUUCUGAACUUCUGGCCUGAUUUAAGAAUUAAACAGAAUAAUUGCUAAAAGUCACAUAAUUUAUUGCAGACCCCCUGAGUUGUAUUGAGCAGUACCCAAGUCUGUGUCCAAACAGAGGACCGCUGCUCCAAACACAUCAGCCAAGUCUUGAGGAUAAUUGGGCAACAAUCGCUAAAAUGAUGGGAUCCCUGGGUCGGCGGGGACUUUGAAAGCACAGCUGAUCACAUCUGGUAGCUCACCCACAUCUGUCAGCCCUCCUUCUGAGUCCAGUGUUCUUGCUCUGUCUAAGAAUGAUUAGGAUGCGUCCACCUUUCCUUCUGAUUUUUACUAAUGCCUAAAAUCAAAAUUACACUUUGAUUUAAAAAAAAAAAAUGUUACAUGUGCAUGCCAGCCAAGGAGCAAGAGAUGUUUUCCUCCUAACCUUUGUCCAACUUCAAACAGAAAACGUCCUCGUGGAAAGACUGGCCAGAUGCAGGUAUAUGUCUCUGGGAGUUGUUCUGGUUUCUUUUUAAAGUAGGCAAUGAAUAUACUUCUUGACACGCGCACGUAAGAUUUGUAGCAAAAACACCUUUCUUUCAUGUAACUGAUUUCCCUUUAAUCCCCAACCUUAAUGUAUAUCAUCCUUGAUGCGUACCCUCACGUGGGCUUUGAACUCGCCAGCGCUAACUCUGAGUAAUGAAGAAAGAUUUGACAGUUUACUUUAUAGCUGAGCACAGGGUACGUGGGGUGAGGGGUAAUGGCACUAUAACUGUUCACCUUUCACCUGGACACAAGCAGGUAAGACAGGGCCGUGCUUAGAAAGAGGUGACAAGAAGCUAAAACCCAGAGGCUGUGUGAUCUCAUGCAUUUACAUUCCCAAGUCUGGAAAGCAAAGGCAGUGUUUAAAAUAAAAAACCGUCACCAAGACAGGAAAAAAAAAAAAAAAAAAAAAACGCCAGAGCUCUAUCACACACACGGAGGUGCAAACCUUUUAAUGAAAGACGUAAUUCUUGGGCUGUCUACAGCAUACUAUAUUCUCACGCAAAACACUUUAAUGCCUGGCGUAAAUUACGGUAGACUUUCUUAGCAUGCAUUGCAUUUUUUUAAUCACGGUGUUUGGCUCCAUUUUCCAUUUGAGUCCAGAAGAGCGAUUUCCAAAUAAAGCCUGGUGGGCUGUUUCUCCUCCCGCCCUGUCUCGUCUCUGGUCUCCCUCCCCCCCCCCCCCACCACUCCCUGUCUCUGAUCUCACCCCCUCCUGUCUGCUCUGCAGCCUGCCCCUCCCCCGAGCCCUAGGGUAACUAAAGUUCCUGGUGUGUCCUUGGUUGAAAGGUGUAAUUGUGAAGAAGGGCAGCUUCUCCCUGGACAGGAUGCUGGAGAAAGAGGCCAUCACAAAACGUACCAAGCCACUGUGCGACCGGGCAUCUACGGAGAGCUGGCAGUGCGGGAGGAACAGAACCUCACCCUCCUCGCAGGAAUGGAUUAAGAGUGCUCACAGUGAGCCCUUCAUACCCACCUGACUCUUGAAGACACAGCUGAACUGAGUUUUAAAUGUCUCCGGGGACUGGAAAGAUUCCCUAUCUGAGGCUGCUUGGCUACAGAAACCCUUCCUCCAGCCCUUGCCAACUAAAACACAGUAGGAGCGAGUGUUGUGUGGCAACCGGGUGUAAACACAACAGUUGGAACACUUCAGAAAGAAGCCUGGAUUUCCUGGGGGACAACGGGAGCAGUCAAAAUCAGCACCGGAUCCGCUGUGGUCACAGCAGACCUGGAGUGGCGGUGGUGAAGCGGGGGCCUCCAGUUUAGAAUGGAGUGGAGACACCACGUUGUGGGUGGCCUUCAGCAUUCCAGUGCUUGUCAUUGAGGCUGGGCCCAACCAUUAAUCACGUACAAGCAAGCACAGUGUUGAAAUAGACUCCGUCGGCUCCGGGAUUAGGCGACUGAAUAACGGAGCCUUGGAUUUGCAAAUAUUACCAUGAAGCCCACAGAAGCUGAUGUAGCUAGAAGGAUGAGAAGACUUCUGAGGGAGCGUGUUAUCUGCUUGAAAGAACUCCACGAAAAGUAGAACGAAGCUGUCAGCAGGGAACAGUGCAGUCCAUGAAGACUUUCGCGUCUAGUCAUCCACCUGGGCAGAGGCUGUUUCUUUAACAGCAGAGUGAGCUACGUUUCCCACUACAACAACCAUUCUGACACAUUGCGAUGACUCCUAGGUGGAAUCAGCUAACUCCCAUCCCACAAAGACAAAUGAUUAAUUGACCUAUGUAGUUGGAGGCUGCUCAUUCGUUCCCGGCUGCUCAGACCCGAAAUAAUUACACAAAACUGUAUUAAUUAAAACACUGCUUGGCCAAACACUUAAACGUAUUGCUAGCCAGCUCUUGUAUCGUAAAUUAACCCAUUUCCAUUAUUUUAUUGUUUACCGCGAGGCUCACGGCCUACCGGCAAAAUUUCAGCGGGCUCUGGCAGAGGCGUCUGUCUCCUGCCCCUACAUGGCUUCUCCCUGACUCCACCUACUCUCUCUAUAUAUCUUUUCCAGCCUGGCUAUAUUCUGUUAAGCCAUUGGCCGAAAGCAGCUUCUUUAUUCAUUAACUAAUAAAAACAUAUACAGAGGACUUCCCACACAAGAUUUAGAUUAUAAAAAGACUCCAAAAGGGGGUGGUGGUGGUCUUUUAAUGUCAUUAGGAAAAGUGGCUGAUAUCCCGCUGUUAUGGCUUGGAUAUAAAGUGUUCCCCCACAAAGGCUCCUACUUGACAGGUUGGUGCUCAGCUGGCGAUGUAAUUUUGGAAGGGUGUGGCCUAGCUGGAGGAAGAAGGUUGCUAGGGUGUGACAGACGGGAGUGCAGGGGGCUGCAGUUCAAGAGGUCACUCUGUGCCGUGGUCUUCUUUGCACUAAGACAUGCAGCACCCUCCACGCAUCCCCACCCUCACGGUACUCUGCCUCACCAUGAACCAAGAUCAGUAAAGGCAAAUAAAGGCUUCCUACUGAAGGCUGCUUCUUUGCAGCCUUCUGCCACCGCGAUAAGAAGAGCUAAACCACCGGUCUGCUAAACCAGCCCUCUGCUUCCCAGACAUUGUUUCCUUCUCGGCAGCAUUCAGAAAAUACUUAAGAUAUGAAACAAUUCCACUCAACCAAUAAAUUGCUUUCAUUUGAUGGGGUAAACUCUGUGGGGGAACUUGUUUGACGGGGCGAGAUGCUAUGCUCCUCAAAACGCAAACUGUUAUUUGACAAUCUAAACAGUCCAUAACUCUCUUUGUUAACAUUGUUCUUGCCAACAUUUAAACAGAGUCGUAAAACUCGCCAGGUUUCCCCCUCUCUCCUUGACCAUUAGGACACCCGGAGCCAAAUGUAAUAUUUAAUUGCACUGACAGUUAUCAGCUGAGAUUCUCCUAAUGAAGUCUUCUUUCCCCACUCCACCUUUAUCUUAUUAGCCAGCAUACAUGAACUAUAUACAAUUUGGGUGAUGUGUUUAGGAGUUUAUUAUGGUGGCUCGGGCCUGUAAUCUCAGUACUGGGGAGACUGAGGCAGGAGGAAUGUUGUGAGACAGAGGCCAGCCUGGGCUACAGAAUGAUUUUCAAGACAGCCUGGGCUAUGCAAUAGGAGACUGUCUCAAAUAAAACAAGAAUUAGACGGAGUAAGGAAAAAGUUUAUCCUUAGUAAAAGCCAAAGAAUAGUCUGGAAACCAUUUUUAUCUAGUUGAUCCGGUCAUUGAAGUCUGAUGUGUGUAGGGGAGGAGAGGGACAAGUGAUUUCUAAGUCUGUGACUGAUUAAUAACUGAGCAGCAAGGAGAAUUAAGGUGUUUCAAUUCAAUCCUUCUCUGAAGAUCAUGAAUUUGCUGGGGAGUGUGUGAAGACAGAGUGUACAGUCUACCACAGAGGGAGAACCAUCUCCUCAGUACAGAGUCUGUUUCCCGGCAGUGGAGAGACAUGUACCCCCGGCAAUUCUGUCAGAGAGCAGCAUCCUAAGUCUUCCUUGACUACUUUCUAAAAUAGAAUUGAGAUAUUUAAGGAUUCAUUUUACAAAGCCUACAGUUAAGGCUUCUGUUGGGUCUUGGAAUGAUUUGCUGCAGUGGAUGUACCUUGGGUGUGAGCCCAGCCUUCUAAUCUGCCAUGACAGAAGUUCACACAAACUUAGAUAGUACGCAGGCAUUGAAAGCUCUCUUCCUCCUUGCCAAUAUUCCUCACGCCUUUAGUGUACUCAGAUAAGAUGAAAUGAAUCUCUAUAAGAACUGAUACUAUGCCAGCAUGGUCUACAAGAGCUAGUUCCAGGACAGGAACCAAAAGCUACGGAGAAACCCUGUCUCGAAAAAUCAAAAAAAAAAAAAAAAAAAAAAAAAAAAAAGAACUGAUACUAUUUGAGAUGGUUCCGUAUAUAAAUAGCUGCAUCAAUUUUAAAAUCUAGUUCCACAUUCCUUCUAUGUUAGAAUCUACGAUAAUAGAAUACACAGGUAGACACGGUGUGGAGUUUGAUGUAAGAAUCCAAAUCCUAAAUCCAGGUGACUUAGUUUUCUUUUAAUAAUGGUAGUUCCAUUGUGAGUUAGCUAAGCCUUUAGGGCAGCUGCCCCACAUGCUGUGACAUAGAGGUGCGGGCAAGUUAAGUCAUUUAGGUUCAACAUCUCAGUGCAUGUUCCUCUUUGUAUCGGCAGGAGAGACAAGGGUGGGUGUUGGGCCCUGACCCCUGACCGCCUCUGCUUGCACUCAUCUCCCCAACUUUGGAACCCCUGUAUGUUCAGUGAACAGCAAAUGCCUCUGUCUCAGGGAAUUUCAGUUUGCUAAGUGGGUGCAAAUGCACCUCAUUCGGUAUAAAUAUAAGUAGAAUCAAAGGCACUAAUUUACAACUGUGUGAUCUGUGGUUCAUCCUUACCUACACAUCCAAAAGCAAAACAGAGCUUUGUUUGCCAAGAUAAUGCUCUCUUUCAAAUCUUUUACGGAUGACUUGUGUGAAAAUAAGAUUUUUUUGUUAAGACAUUGUUUCGUUAUUUAGAGGAGAAGGGUAUGUGACAUAUUCCACUCAGGCAGGAAGUGGGGUUUCACCUGAAUGAGCUUGCUUACGGUGCCAGGCACCGGGAUUCUUUCAGUCUUCUGAGGAAUUCGCAAGUCUCUGCCCUCCAGAAGGAAACCAGGAAUGAGAGGCAUUGUUCACAAAGACAAUAGAAUCAGAAUGCUUUUCUCAAAAAUGAAUAAGACUAUUAAGCGAACCUCUUCUUUGUGUUGGGAAAAGGGAUACCAGGAGGCUGGCCCACAGCCAGGGAGCAAGGAUCCUGUUCAAAGAGCCCUUGGGGCCACCGACCAUGUGGAGGAACUGGGACUUUGAUUAGCACUUCAGUUCUUGCAGAAGCUUCUGGAGAUCUUUGGGGAAUACCACGUGCUUAGUUUCUCUUCAGCUCAGUUUCUAAGAGGGAAGCAACAGAUCCUGUUUAUAAGAUAGAUGGGGGAAUAAAAACCUAAGGAGAUUCUAACGGAAGGCUACCUUUGGGUAGGUAAAGGUGGGGUCUCAAAUUGUUGGCUAUGAUUGUAAUCUUUAAGACUGCUAAGAAUUGGGGUGUUGGAAGAGGAAGUUGGGGAGAACACUGUCCAGAUAGUCCUCUAAAGCCAAUACAGCGCCAUCGUGGGGUUUGUUUAAUGACAGAGAAAUAGAUCUUCAUCUUGGAAACAAAUGGAGAGCAAUUGUAAUAAUGUAGUCUGAUUUUAGGGACUUGGACCAUGUGAUGAUUGAGCUCAAAUACUUGGCAAUAGAGUCCAAGGAAGUUGAGCUCCUGCUGGUGGGAGUGGGAAGGUUAUAGGCGAAUUGGGUGACUUCCAGUUUUCAUGCUUGGGAAACGGGAUGGGUCCACAUUCACUGGGAAAAAACAGCGGUCCAACUAUAGGUAGAUAAUGCAGCAGUUCUAUGAAUGGUGAAUCCGAGCCAUUUGUGGCCUAGAACAGAUAUUCAAUAACUAUCCUUUGAUUAUAUGCCUUUUCACUUCUUAGAAUAUCUGGGACUCAUCUACAUUGUGCUGAGAUAUUCUGGAUAAUGUUAUAAAUCUGCUAGAAAUAAAAAUAAAAAAGGAUCAAUCCCCAUUUAAAUUUGUCAUCUAUUAAGACUGGGAGGCAAUCUUUACCCUUCAGAUCCCUCUGGCCUAUCCUGCGGAGUAAGCUAGAUCUCCUGGUUUUGACUACUUGAAUCACAGCUGAGUGUUUUCCAGACUCUGGAUUCUGUUCCUAUACAUCAUUCGUGAGUUACAUUGGCACCUAGAGCCCCCACAGAACAGGGCUCUUCCCUCUGUUGACCUCUCAGUUGCCACAUGCAAAAUCCUGCGAUGCUGAUGGCAGUAUGGCUGACUUCCCAAAGCAUGGUGGAGUGUAGGAAGUAAAUGACGUCCCAAGGGAAUGUGUGCUGUUGGUGUGGGCACAGCCAAGUCAAGGACCUCAGUGCCUCAGACCCAUAGGAAUGGCAGCGCUUUCCCCAGGUGAGAUUCAGAGGGAUGGCAAGGCCUGCCUCAGGGCUAGGUGCAGACGUUAACAGUAUGUGCUGAAAAUGUCCAUAGGAGCUUUUUCCUCCGGUGGUUUCCAGCCUUGAGAGUGUUCCCUUACAGACACUGGGCAUAGUGAGAUUAGCCAAGCCGGCCUCCUCGUUCAGCUCUAACAACCCUACCUCCCCGUUUAGCUGUUUAUAGUAAUCACACUGAACUGGGGUGCUGCUGCUUCUCCA